GCAAGAUAUGGAUCUAUAUUUACCUAAGUUUAUGACUGUAUAUCAUGAAAAUAUGACAGAUUUUUUUUCGUAUGAUGGGCGUUACUACGAUGUUCGAGAAUAAUGCGGAUUUUACACGUCUCUCAGAAAUUCCUCUAAAAGUGAACAAUAUCGUUCAAACGGUUUCCGUGAAAAUUAACGGAGAAGGUUCGGAAGCUCCAAAUGAUAACAUUUUUGACGAAAGCGAGAUAAGAGAACCGGUAGAUCCACUGCAAGAGUUGGUCGUAGAUCGUCCGUUUCAUUACUAUAUCGAAGUAUACGGAGAGAUAAUGUUUGCUGGAACCGUGCGAGCACCAGAAUUUAUAUUUCUGAAAGAUGAAUUAUAAAUUCUAUUAUAUUCUUGUGUUUAUUGAAAGUUUAUAUCACACAAUAUAUGUAUAUCUUAAAUUUUUUUAAUUUUAUCAUAUUAACGUAUAUAAAAUUCAAGCAUUAAUAAAUAAAUAAUCUGUAUUUUGAAAAUGUGCUUUAGUCAUUUUUUGAUCAAUUUUCUUAUUGCUUAAAAGUAGCCAAAUAAAUUUGCACUUAUGUGCGUUAAAUACAACAAAAUAA